rnacentral:rRNA from 1 species
AGAGGAAGUAAAAGUCGUAACAAGGUUUCCGUAGGUGAACCUGCGGAAGGAUCAUUAUUGAAAUAAACCUGAUGGGUUGUUGCUGGCUCUCUAGGGAGCAUGUGCACGCUUGUCAUCUUUAUAUCUCCACCUGUGCACCUUUUGUAGACCUGGAUAAUCUUUCUGAAUGCACUUGCAUUUCAGGUUUGAGGWAUUGACUUUUAUGUCUCUCCUUACAUUUCCAGGCCUAUGUUUCUUCAUAUACCCCUAUGUAUGUUUUAGAAUGUAACAGAUGGGCCUUUUGUGCCUAUAAAUUUAUACAACUUUCAGCAACGGAUCUCUUGGCUCUCGCAUCGAUGAAGAACGCAGCGAAAUGCGAUAAGUAAUGUGAAUUGCAGAAUUCAGUGAAUCAUCGAAUCUUUGAACGCACCUUGCGCUCCUUGGUAUUCCGAGGAGCAUGCCUGUUUGAGUGUCAUUAAUAUAUCAACCUCUUCGGCUUAUGCUUGUUGAGUGUUGGAUGUGGGGGGGUAUUUCUUUGCUGGCAUCUUAUGAAGUCAGCUCCCCUGAAAUGCAUUAGCGGAACAAUUUGGUUGACUGUUCAUUGGUGUGAUAAAUAUCUACGCUAUUGACGUCGGUCAGUUCAGCUUCUAACAGUCCAUUGACUUGGACAAAUUUUUUCAUUAAUGUGACCUCAAAUCAGGUAGGACUACCCGCUGAACUUAAGCAUA